GUCGGCCCCUCCCACACACCUGUUUUGGAUAUAGGACCUGAACAGAGGAACAAACAAAGAGCUCGAACAGCAGAUCAAGUUGUCACUGCAGGUCCCCAGUACCUGGCUCCAAUUCAUGCCUGUCCCAACCACAGAUAGUUGCCUCUAGCUGCUGACUAGACGUACCCUCCAUGUCUUUUGGCUGUGUUUUGAACUGACAAGUGGAAACAAAGCAGAGGCAGACAGUGACAGGAAAACAGCAGGGGUCCGGAUGUGAGACCAUGCAAUGACUGUAUGGGGAUCUUCAUUUGCUAAGCCCUUUUAGCAUGUCAUACUGUAACAUGAUCGAAUUUUAACUAUUUCAGCCAUAAAUGAAAG